CCCUGAGCUCCAGGUCAAGCCUCCAGUCCCUGAGCUCCAGGUCAAGCCUCCAGUCCCUGAGCUCCAGGUCAAGCCUCCAGUCCCUGAGCUCCAGGUCAAGUCUCCAGUCCCUGAGCUCCAGGUCAAGCCUCCAGUCCCUGAGCUCCAGGUCAAGCCUCCAGUCCCUGAGCUCCAGGUCAAGCCUCCAGUCCCUGAGCUCCAGGUCAAGCCUCCAGUCCCUGAGCUCCAGGUCAAGCCUCCAGUCCCUGAGCUCCAGGUCAAGCCUUCAGUCCCUGAGCUCCAGGUCAAGCCUCCAGUCCCUGAGCUCCAGGUCAAGUCUCCAGUCCCUGAGCUCCAGGUCAAGUCUCCAGUCCCUGAGCUCCAGGUCAAGUCUCCAGUCCCUGAGCUCCAGGUCAAGCCUUCAGUCCCUGAGCUCCAGGUCAAGCCUCCCGUCCCUGAGCUCCAGGUCAAGCCUCCAGUCCCUGAGCUCCCGUUCAAGGCUGCUGACACGCCCAGCCAAGCUCUGCUCACGCCACAGGCUGCUGACACGCACAGCCAAGCUCUGCUCACGCCACAGGCUGCUGACACGCACAGCCAAGCUC
ensembl:lncRNA